rnacentral:rRNA from 1 species
AGGACGAACGCUGGCGGCGUGCCUAACACAUGCAAGUCGCACGAGAAAGGGUAGCAAUACCUGAGUACAGUGGCGCACGGGUGAGUAACACGUGAAUUAUCUACCUCCGAGUGGGGAAUAAACUGAGAGAAAUCUUAGCUAAUACCGCAUAACACUUACGAGUCAAAGCAGCAAUGCGCUUGGAGAGGAGUUCGCGGCAGAUUAGUUAGUUGGCGGGUAAUGGCCCACCAAGACGAUGAUCUGUA